rnacentral:rRNA from 1 species
UACGUAGGGGGGCGAGCGUUGUCCGGAUUUACUGGGCGUAAAGCGCGUGUAGGCGGAAGCCUAAGUCCGAUCUGAAAGCCCCUGGCUCAACCAGGGAUCCGGACCGGAAACUGGGCUUCUUGAGGACGGCAGGGGAGUGUGGAAUUCCUGGUGUAGCGGUGAAAUGCGUAGAGAUCAGGAGGAACACCCAUGGCGAAGGCAGCACUCUGGACCGGACCUGACGCUGAGACGCGAAAGCGUGGGGAGCGAACGGG